GGCGAGUCUCAGUUUCAGAUUAUUCAUCGUCUAGUACAAAACGGUGUAUGAAACUUUCAACAAUGAAGUUAGUACUUUGCUUUUUCAUUUUGUUCGUUCUUGUGGUGAUCAGUCAUGCACAAUAUCUGCAACACUGCAACCGUUGUGGAAGUCUAAACUUGCAACAACGACGGGUGUGUUGUAACAGCGGAUUUACCCAGUGUUGCCGAAUUCGUGUACCCCCUGACCAAACUUUUCCAGGAUCAGGCGCCCCAGGACAAGGCGGCUAUCCAGGCAGUUCUGGCGGCCUAGCCCAACCUGGUAUUCCGAACUAUUAUGCUACUGGUUCUGCUGGAUUCUAUCCUGGUGGUACUGGAGGC